GGCUGCAGUGGGGAAUAUUGGACAAUGGGCGGAAGCCUGAUCCAGCAACGCCGCGUGAGGGAUGACGGCCUUCGGGUUGUAAACCUCUUUCGGUGGGGACGAAGCGCAAGUGACGGUACCCACUAAAGAAGCACCGGCCAACUACGUGCCAGCAGCCGCGGUAAUACGUAGGGUGCGAGCGUUGUCCGGAAUUAUUGGGCGUAAAGGGCUCGUAGGCGGUUUGUCGCGUCGGGAGUGAAAACGCCGUGCUUAACACGGCGCUUGCUUUCGAUACGGGCAGACUAGAGGUAUGCAGGGGAGAACGGAAUUCCUGGUGUAGCGGUGAAAUGCGCAGAUAUCAGGAGGAACACCGGUGGCGAAGGCGG
rnacentral:rRNA from 1 species